rnacentral:sRNA from 1 species
UGACAGCGCUGCAGUGCUCUGUUGACCCACAGAACAGAUACAGCAUGGGCAAGCUUUCCCUGUGUCACCACGUUGGUAUGCAUCAGUAUAGAGGGAUCCCCUUUAGGGUUAAGAGAGGCAUUUAUGGCCUGUGUGGUCCCUGAAUACU